rnacentral:lncRNA from 1 species
UUUCAUGGUUGGCUCUAGGUCACCAUUCUUUUUUACUCCCAGAAUCACAUCUGUACUUGCAGCUUCAUUUACCAUCUGGACACAAAGACUUGCAGAUUUAUGUCAUCAUCCAAUAUCUUAUCCCCUUGAAACCCAGAAGACAGCAUUUCUAAGGUGGGUAGUGAUCUUUUCCUCCCUUCACCCUUGACCUGGUCCUGCUGCCUUACUGAAGGUGCCACCUCCUUAAACCUGCACCAUCUGGACCCUGGAGAGCUUCCUCUCCCCUUCCUUCUCCACCUUCCAAUCAAGCUCUUGGCCUCUUGCUUUCUGUGUUGCAGUCACACUAGCCAUACUGGUGAGUCUACGCCUUCCCACUUCCUUCCACCUAGAGCCAUCACAGUACUUCCCCUCUCCUUGCAGGAUGUGUUCUUGCUGUUUGCAUCACUCCCUGCCUUGCUUUGCCACACUCCUCAUAGCUGUCACAAAAUAUUUUGCACAAAGUUAUAUGGUGUCUAGCACCCCUGUUAGAAUGUUGACUCAAUGAGAGAGGUGUCCAUGUUGUCCUGGUAAAUGUUUUAACAACUGGAUCUCCUGCUGGGAAAAAUGAUUUGUUGGCAUUUGCUGAUUUCCAUGGUGUAAAUUCUUCCACUGUAUUUUAUUUUAAGCUACCAUUACAUCACCACUGGACGCAAAUUUGGGAAGAGGUUACAGUUGCCUCUUAUAAGCUUAAAAGAAGAUUCUAGCAUAGUACUCAGAUAUGGCCAUCCUCUUCACUGCUGUGCGUGUCUUCAUGCCUUGGGGCUGUGCUAGGCACCUUGGUGAUAGUGACUCUUAAUUGGAGGGUUAAAUGCAGUGUCUUUAUGUCAUCAUAGAAAUGUAGUGGUAAAAAUGCUAAUAUUUAAGACAAACCAGCAUAAAAUCUUUCAUUUUAGAAUUGGACUUGGCCUUAAUUAAACUAUCAGCUAUCCCAUCAUUUUUGUCUCUUGUAAUUGAGGGUCAGGGAAUGGAAUCUGGCACAAUCAUAUAACUAGCUAGUAAAGUUACCCAAGUUAAAGUGCACAUCUCUUAAUUACCUGUGCGCAUUCCUUCCAAAAGAAGUAAAAUUUUAUCAUUCAGGUCAUGUUAUUAUAUAGUGGCAGAGUUGAACAUAUCAUAAAUAAACCUACUUUACAAGAGAAAAGGCACUGUUUGAUUUUCUUAUUAAAUUUUAGGUUGUCUGUUCAGAGAGAUUUCCCCUUUAUCAUUCCCCCCUUAAUUAUUUCUUGUAGUUAUAUGCAGAUUAAAUAUAUUAGUUAGCUUUUGCUGUGCAGUAAACCACUCCAAAAUAUAUUGGCCUUUCUUUCAGCCACUGCUGUGUGGGCUGACAGUGUGGUGUAGACCCCUUUUCUGGUUUACCCAGGCUUCCCUG